GCCGGGAACUAUAGCGGAGGCUUCAUCCGUUAUCUUCUGAUUAAAUGGAUUGCAAGCAGCCAAUCAGAAGACCUGUUUUUUUCAGAUAUUUUUCCGUUUCCUUAUGUGCAUCCUUAAAGCUGCGUAUUGUUUAUGCCAAAUGCUGAUGUCAGUAUUCUUGGCGCCUAUCGAUUAGGGUUGCUGGCGGUUUGCAGAGGUCUUCUCAGUUCCCAACGGGAGAGAACGCACCAAAAACUAGGUCUUUGUCAGUUCCUUGCAGGGUCUUGCAGGGUUAUUAUUCCGAGCACAAGAUGGCAUUCGUUCAAUAAUCCACAUGCCUUGACUGUGCUUUCACAUUUUGCGUACCCAUCUAGACGUGGCAAGGGGUUGUGCUUUCUAAGUAGAAUGUGAAGCACUUCCUUUAAUCGAUCCUCUCUACACAAUUUCGUUCGAUUCAGAUGGGUUGUCGAUAAUGUGUGUUGUUAUUCAUUCUACUUUUGCCACACUCGAUCACCAUCACCAAUUUCAUUCGUCAGACGUGAUACCAUAUCCAUUUAUUGUCUCUAUGAAAUACGAAUCAUACAUGGCUUGCUAGAUUGAAAAUCCCUUCAAUGUCUACGAGUACAGUAUGCCCUCUGAUGGCCCAAUUCUUCAUCCCCCCGACCAGAUGCAAGAGGAGAGUUUCAUUCUUCACGAAUGGAGAUGGUUAAUCUGAGACUCAGCAGAGAGGAAGAAUAAGAGCUCCUUCAAUUGGUGGUAUUUUGGCUUAUGCAGUGGUUUAUUUGUAUUGGUUCCUGUGAUCGUGUACAUUCAAGAAAACGUUGGGUGGAGUUUGGGCUUUGCUCUCCCAGCUGCAGCCAUGUCUAUAGCUCUUGCCUCUUCCUCUGCAGAACAAAAAUUUACCGACAUAAAAUACCUUCUACCAGUCCAGUAACUCAAAUUGUCCAGGUUUUUGUUGCAGCAAUUUGCAAGUGGAAUGUCUCUGUUCAUUCUCAAGGAGAAGGGAAGUUAUAUGGUAUUCAAGGAUUAAAUGAUGAAAAGAGAAGACUUUUGCCCUCCUAUCAAUUCAGGCAAACCUCAAUUCUACCUGUUUAUCUGCAUCUGAUUACUGCUCAUGCAAUUUGUAAGAGUUCAUUCAGAAGCAGCUACAUUGCUGUUUAGUUUUAGGCUUGACAUUGCUGCUUUUUAAAAUGUAUUUGGUAAAGUUAGGAAAAUGCUCCCAAGGACAUCCGGUGUUGUUUUGAAGCUUUCUUGAUAAAGCUACAAUUGCAACUGAUUUGGACCAUGAGAACAAAACAAAUAUUGAUUGGAGGCUAUGCACAGCCACACAGGUUGAAGAGGUCAAGCUUGUUCUAAGAUUGAUUCCCAUUUGGGUGACUUGUUUGGUUUGUGGUGUUAUUUGUGCACAAACACCAACAUUCUUUACAAAACAGGGGAGCACAAUGGAUAGAAGGAUCAUUGGAGGCUUCAAAAUCCCAUCAGCAAACAUGGAAAGCUUUAUCAGUCUGAAUGUUCUAGUGCUAGUGCCUGUGUAUGAUCGAAUCUUUGUCCCACUGGCCAGAAGCAUAACUGGAAAUGAACGUGGUAUAACACUGCUACAAAGGAUAGGUGUUGGUGUGUUUAUUUGUCAUUUCCAUGAUUGUUGCAGCAAUGACAAAAAUAAAAAGGCUUAUAGCAGCAAGAGAAUAUGGAUUGAUAGACAUGCCCCAAGGAUGACACCAGAAGAAGAUUGUGUAGAUGGUGAACUUAGACCUGAUCAUUAUUUUUCUUUCGAGAGAAUAUUAUAUAGUUUCUUUUCUUAUUUGCUUCA